AGUUUAUUUUGUUUUGUUUUUAGUUAUCCAUUUAACAAUAAAGUUAUUCAAAAUAUUGCCUUGGCUAUUUAGUUCAUAAAUUUGACAUAGUACUUGUCUAAAUCACUUAACGAAGUGCACCAACGAGAAGGUAAGCCAUAGGGCUUUGCACUCCAUCAGUAAACUGUCGUGUUGCCUAAGGUCUAUACGUUAUUGUCUACGUCUAUACGUUAUUGAUUCUUGCUGCCCUCUCUGAAAUUUCUCCGUAGCUAGAUAUGAUUGAAGACUUUCAUUUCAAAAUUAUUUUUAACACAAUGAUAUAUGAUAAUGAUAUUGAUUGUCUUAAAGGACCACUGCUAUCUGAAUCCAACAAAAGCAAUCACGCAAUUCUUCUAUUUUUAUGUCUAUGUAACAGGUACUUAACAAAAUCAGUCAUUUGGUGUAAGGCAAUUUAUUUGAACAGUCCUUAAUGACUUUAAAAUUAUUUAUUGCACAUAAUAAAAAUAUUUUUUAUAAUUUAGUGUUAUUUAAGAUAUUAAAAUAUUUUUUCUUUCAAAAACUUAUGUGUGUUUGUUAU